rfam:Helianthus annuus linkage group 2, whole genome shotgun sequence.
AUGCCAUGAUGGGGGCAUUUCCUCAGCAACUCCUUAAACCUCGUGAAUGCCUCAUGAAAUGUCUCCCCUGAAUGCUGUUGGAAAGCUCUGAUUGCUUCCCGAGCUU